UUGACCUCGGAUCAGGUAGGGAUACCCGCUGAACUUAAGCAUAUCAAUAAGCGGAGGAAAAGAAACCAACAGGGAUUGCCCCAGUAACGGCGAGUGAAGCGGCAAGAGCUCAAAUUUGAAAGCUGGCUCCUUCGGGGUCCGCAUUGUAAUUUGCAGAGGAUGCUUCGGGAGCGGUCCCCAUCUAAGUGCCCUGGAACGGGACGUCAUAGAGGGUGAAAAUCCCGUAUGGGAUGGGGUGUCCGCGCCCAUGUGAAGCUCCUUCGACGAGUCGAGUUGUUUGGGAAUGCAGCUCUAAAUGGGUGGUAAAUUUCAUCUAAAGCUAAAUAUUGGCCGGAGACCGAUAGCGCACAAGUAGAGUGAUCGAAAGAUGAAAAGCACUUUGAAAAGAGAGUUAAAAAGCACGUGAAAUUGUUGAAAGGGAAGCGCUUGCGAUCAGACUCGCUCGCGGGGUUCAGCCGGCAUUCGUGCCGGUGUACUUCCCCGCGGGCGGGCCAGCGUCGGUUUGGGCGGUCGGUCAAAGGCCCUCGGAAGGUAACGCCCCCUCGGGGGCGUCUUAUAGCCGAGGGUGCAAUGCGACCUGCCUGGACCGAGGAACGCGCUUCGGCUCGGACGCUG
rnacentral:rRNA from 1 species